rnacentral:misc_RNA from 1 species
AAAGUCGUAACAAGGUAACCGUAGGUGAACCUGCGGUUGGAUCAUUAUUAAAUGAUAGCCAGUUCUCUCUGUUUCGGCAGAGAUUGAGCAGGCAUUAACCCUUUGUGAACUGUUAUUUUACUUGGUAGGUUCAAUCUUGCCCUUUGAGCUUCGGCGAAGAGGGUGGGAAAGUUCCUACCGCCAUUUAUACCAACCCCUUAUAUGAUUAUCUGAAAUUGAGUUAAUGAGAAACAACUUUUGACAAUGGAUCUCUUGGCUCUC